AAGCAGGCACGCAAGCAGACACACCUUAUUCUCUACAGCAUCAUUUAUACCUCAACUAAGUCAGCUGAACAAAUGCCUGCUGAAAAGUUCUGGGAGUGGCAUAGCUAAGAACCAGAAAGGCGAUCUUUCUUUUGGAUUAAGUCAACAGAGUCAUACCCACAAGGAGAACUAUCAAAUAUCAGAUGCGAGAGGUGAAGUGGGGUUAUAAGGUGAGAGCUGAGAAGGGAGAAACAGGGGAUUUGAUUUAGGACAAAUUGUUAUUUGGAUGGAUGCUUGUCUAUUGAGAGAGUAAUUGUUAAACUAAAGGAAACUGGUCACAAAUACUUUAGCAGUGGCUAUAAAUGACCAGUGGGCCAAGGAUUUUGAGAUCGUGAGAGACUUCUCCGGGAAUGUUGUCAUUCAUUUCACUCCAGUGUGGCUCUUUUCCUCCAUCUGCGCUCACUUUUCUAGGAGAACUAUGGCCACUAUGGAGAAUAUGAAAACAUUGCUGAAGGAGGUGAAAGCCAUUUCAGAAGAAGAGUUAUAUAUUAGCUUUUGGCAGUGACAGCGUUAUGGGCACGGACAUUCAGCCUUUCCAGUUGACUGCUUUGAAGGGGCAAUGUUCACGUGGAAGUAUACCUCCUAGUACGUUUGCUAAAAUAAAAUCAGCUUCAUUACCUAAUAACAUAAAUGACUUUGGGAGAA
rnacentral:lncRNA from 10 species